rnacentral:lncRNA from 12 species
AGAAGCAGUUAGGCUGGGAGAGUGCAGGAGGAAUUGAACAGCAGAAUUGAGGUGAUGCAUCUGGUGGAACACAAAGUCAAUGGUGCAGAUAAAUCCCGGGACAGACACACAGAUGAUUUUUUUAAGCUGCC